AGACCACGAUGAGGACACUUUCUUAGUAGCUCCUUGAACUAUCCCAAGUUUCAUAUAAGGAUUCCCCAUCCUCUUGUGAAUAUGUGUUAAUUUCAGUCAUUAAUUU
rnacentral:snoRNA from 2 species